rnacentral:rRNA from 1 species
AUUGAACGCUGGCGGCAGGCCUAACACAUGCAAGUCGAGCGGGGUUUUCGGACCUAGCGGCGGACGGGUGAGUAAUGCGUAGGAAGCUGCCCGAUAGAGGGGGAUACCAGUUGGAAACGACUGUUAAUACCGCAUAAUGUCUACGGACCAAAGUGUGGGACCUUCGGGCCACAUGCUAUCGGAUGCGCCUACGUGGGAUUAGCUAGUUGGUGAGGUAAUGACUCACCAAGGCGACGAUCUCUAGCUGGUUUGAGAGGAUGAUCAGCCACACUGGAACUGAGACACGGUCCAGACUCCUACGGGAGUCAGCAGUGGGGAAUAUUGGACAAUGGGCGCAAGCCUGAUCCAGCCAUGCCGCGUGUGUGAAGAAGGCCUUCGGGUUGUAAAGCACUUUCAGCGAGGAGGAAGGGUGGUGUGUUAAUAGCACAUCAUUUUGACGUUACUCGCAGAAGAAGCACCGGCUAACUCUGUGCCAGCCGCCACCGUAAGAC